CCAAGCAAGAUCUAAAGUGCAAAAGCCUGAAUAAAGUACUUCAAGGUAAGGGCAAGUCAAUCCAAAAGCUAGAAAAAGUCUUAACAAACUAAUGUGCAUGUCUCUCUUGAGGAAAACAAAUCCUAGCCAUGGUAAGCAAAGGGAAACAAGGAAAAGAGGUGAGUAAUCUUCAUGCAUAUAUUCUUCACUGCAAUGCUUCAAAAUAGGUGUCUAGAGUAAGAGCUUAAGUGGAAAUAAGGAUCUAGAGUAAG
rnacentral:lncRNA from 1 species